rnacentral:rRNA from 1 species
CCUACGGGCGGCAGCAGUGAGGAAUAUUGGUCAAUGGACGAGAGUCUGAACCAGCCAAGUAGCGUGAAGGAUGACUGCCCUAUGGGUUGUAAACUUCUUUUAUAUGGGAAUAAAAUGUUCCACGUGUGGGAUUUUGUAUGUACCAUAUGAAUAAGGAUCGGCUAACUCCGUGCCAGCAGCCGCGGUAAUACGGAGGAUCCGAGCGUUAUCCGGAUUUAUUGGGUGUAAAGGGAGCGUAGGUGGAUUGUUAAGUCAGUUGUGAAAGUUUGCGGCUCAACCGUAAAAUUGCAGUUGAAACUGGCAGUCUUGAGUACAGUAGAGGUGGGCGGAAUUCGUGGUGGAGCGGUGAAAUGCUUAGAUAUCACGAAGAACUCCGAUUGCGAAGGCAGUUCACUGGACUGCAACUGACACUGAGGCUCGAAAGUGUGGGUAUCAAACAGGAUUAGAUACCCUAGUAGUC